rnacentral:piRNA from 1 species
AUGUCCGCAUCUGCCUUUUUUGCCAUCAAAU